rnacentral:vault_RNA from 1 species
GGGUCAGCGUUAGCUCAAGCAGUUACUUCCUCACACUGGACUUUCCAUCCAUCCAAUCCCUGCACUGGGGUUCGAGACCCAUGGGUGCUUUCUGAACCUUCA